AGUGAACGCUGGCGGUAGGCCUAACACAUGCAAGUCGAACGGCAGCACAGGAGAGCUUGCUCUCUGGGUGACGAGUGGCGGACGGGUGAGGAAUACAUCGGAAUCUACUCUGUCGUGGGGGAUAACGUAGGGAAACUUACGCUAAUACCGCAUACGACCUACGGGUGAAAGCAGGGGACCUUCGGGCCUUGCGCGAUUGAAUGAGCCGAUGUCGGAUUAGCUAGUUGGCGGGGUAAAGGCCCACCAAGGCGACGAUCCGUAGCUGGUCUGAGAGGAUGAUCAGCCACACUGGAACUGAGACACGGUCCAGACUCCUACGGGAGGCAGCAGUGGGGAUUAUUGGACAAUGGGCGCAAGCCUGAUUCAGCCAUACCGCGUGGGUGAAGAAGGCCUUCGGGUUGUAAAGCCCUUUUGUUGGGAAAGAAAUCCAGCUGGCUAAUACCCGGUUGGGAUGACGGUACCCAAAGAAUAAGCACCGGCUAACUUCGUGCCAGCCGCCGCCGUAA
rnacentral:rRNA from 1 species